AGUGAACGCUGGCGGCAGGCCUAACACAUGCAAGUCGAACGGCAGCACAGUAAGUGCUUGCUCUUACGGGUGGCGAGUGGCGGACGGGUGAGGAAUACAUCGGAAUCUACUUUUUCGUGGGGGAUAACGUAGGGAAACUUACGCUAAUACCGCAUACGACCUACGGGUGAAAGCAGGGGAUCUUUGGACCUUUCGCGAUUGUAUGAGCCGAUGUCGGAUUAGCUAGUUGGCGGGGUAAAGGCCCACCAAGGCGACGCUCCGAAAAUGGUCUGACAGGGAGUUCACACACAUGGGAAGUGAGACACGGUCGAGACACCUAGGGGAGGAAGCAGUGGGGAAUAUUAGGCAAGGGGCGAGAGCCUGAUCCAGCAAUACCGCGUGAGUGAAGAAGGCCUUCGGGUUGGAAAGCCAUGUUGUUGGGAAAGAAGAACAGCAGGUUAAUACCCCGCGAUACUGACGGUACCGAGAGAAUAAGCACCGGCUAACUUCGUG
rnacentral:rRNA from 1 species